rnacentral:rRNA from 1 species
GAUUGAACGCUGGCGGUAUGCUUAACACAUGCAAGUCGAACGGAAACGAUACUAGCUUGCUAGUAGGCGUCGAGUGGCGGACGGGUGAGUAACGCGUAGGAAUCUACCUGAUAGUGGGGGAUAGCCCGAAGAAAUUCGGAUUAAUACCGCAUAAUCUAUUCGUAGUAAAGUGGGGGACUUUCGAGCCUCACGCUAUCAGAUGAGCCUGCGUAAGAUUAGCUAGUUGGUAGGGUAAAAGCCUACCAAGGCAACGAUCUUUAGCUGGUCUGAGAGGAUGAUCAGCCACAUCGGGACUGAGACACGGCCCGAACUCCUACGGGAGGCAGCAGUGGGGAAUAUUGGACAAUGGGGGCAACCCUGAUCCAGCAAUACCGCGUGUGUGAAGAAGGCCUGAGGGUUGUAAAGCACUUUCAAUUGUGAAGAAAAGCUAGUGGUUAAUAGCCAUUAGCCUUGACAUUAACUUUAGAAGAAGCACCGGCUAACUCCGUGCCAGCAGCCGCGGUAAUACGGAGGGUGCAAGCGUUAAUCGGAAUUACUGGGCGUAAAGCGUGCGUAGGCGGUUUAUUAAGUCAGAUGUGAAAGCCCCGGGCUUAACCUGGGAACUGCAUUUGAAACUGGUCAACUAGAGUAUGGUAGAGGAAAGUGGAAUUUCUGGUGUAGCGGUGAAAUGCGUAGAUAUCAGAAAGGAACAUCAAUGGCGAAGGCAACUUUCUGGACCAAUACUGACGCUGAGGUACGAAAGCGUGGGUAGCAAACAGGAUUAGAUACCCUGGUAGUCCACGCCGUAAACGAUGAUAACUAGCCGUUGGGGGGAUUUACCCCUUAGUGGCGAAGCUAACGCGUUAAGUUAUCCGCCUGGGGAGUACGGCCGCAAGGUUAAAACUCAAAGGAAUUGACGGGGACCCGCACAAGCGGUGGAGCAUGUGGUUUAAUUCGAUGCAACGCGAAGAACCUUACCUGGUCUUGACAUCCUGAGAACUUUCUAGAAAUAGAUUGGUGCCUUCGGGAACUCAGUGACAGGUGCUGCAUGGCUGUCGUCAGCUCGUGUCGUGAGAUGUUGGGUUAAGUCCCGUAACGAGCGCAACCCCUAUCCUUAUUUGCCAGCACAUCAUGGUGGGAACUAUAAGGAGACUGCCGGUGAUAAACCGGAGGAAGGCGGGGACGACGUCAAGUCAUCAUGGCCCUUACGACCAGGGCUACACACGUGCUACAAUGGGAAGGACAAAGAGCCGCGAAGCCGCGAGGUGUAGCUAAUCUCAGAAACCUUUUCGUAGUCCGGAUUGGAGUCUGCAACUCGACUCCAUGAAGUCGGAAUCGCUAGUAAUCGUAGAUCAGAAUGCUACGGUGAAUACGUUCCCGGGUCUUGUACACACC